rnacentral:rRNA from 1 species
GACAGAGGGGGCAAGCGUUGCUCGGAAUUACUGGGCGUAAAGGGUGCGUAGGCGGGAUGGCAAGUCGGUUGUGAAAUCUUUCGGCUCAAUUGAAGAAUGUCGGCCGAUACUGCCGUUCUUGAGGGAUGCAGAGGAGAUUGGAAUUCCCGGUGUAGCGGUGAAAUGUGUAGAGAUCGGGAGGAACAUCGGUGGCGAAGGCGGGUCUCUGGGCAUCUCCUGACGCUGAGGCGCGAAAGCGUGGGAGCAAACGGG